UCCCACAACUCAAAAUCUAUUUUUAGAACAUCGCGUCAAAGCUACUAGUUUUGAACAUUUUGUCUAUCUAUAAACAUCCAGCGGGGUGUCCCACAAAACGGUUUUGUGAUGCACGCAAUGCAUUGUUGGAUAUCAAUGGCGGAGUACAGCAGUAACUUGGCAUUGAUAAGUAUGAAUCUUCCAAAAGCUUGGAAAGCACAUUAUUUAAUGAUGCAACCUCAGACAAGCCCAAAAAUAAUGCUGUUAUGAAAUUAAUGUUGAACAACUACCCAUGGAAGCUUUGACUCUUUGCAUGGAGGAAUAUUGAUAGACAGUAGGAGAUUAGAUAUGACUUUGGACUCUGUUGCAGCACUGUGAUGCACGUUCCAUAGAUUCUUCUGAACACUGCACUGAUUCAUCAGCUGUCAGACAUGAACAGAUUUAUAACAGAGAGCAUUCUAGAGAGGGACACAAUGGUAACUCAUGUAGAUGUUCCACUAACUAGUUAAGAUGGGCUCUUAACUGAUACUACAGUCUACUCAGGACCAUGUAACUUCACAUGUUCAACAGCUUUGGCAUUUUACUACAGGGAGGAAUUUGAAGGCAAAUCCUGUUGAAGCACACCCAGAUGUUCCACAGAUUCUGCAGAACAGUGAAGAUCUGUUGCAGCACAUAAUUACCGUAUAUACUUGUUCAACAGAUUCAACAGGUCAUAAAGGACCAUGUUGCAGAAUAUGUUCAACAGCCU